AUCGAUGUGGGCGACUACACCACCAAGAAGAAGCACGUCAUUCGCUUCCUCGAGGCGGGCAACAAGGUCAAGAUCACGAUCAUGUUCCGCGGCCGCGAAAUGGCUCAUCCGGAACAGGGUCUGAGCAUUCUGGAACGCCUGGCUGAUGAUUUGAAGGAUAUUGCGGCAAUUGAAAGCCAGCCCAAGAUGGAAGGCCGCAAUAUGCACAUGGUUAUUUCGCCUUUGCCUGGCACGGCCAAGAACAAGAAGGCCGCUGCUGGUAAGCGUAAUAGGAAGAACGUCGAAGAAAAGGAAGGGGAGUAACAUGCCCA
rnacentral:misc_RNA from 1 species